rnacentral:rRNA from 1 species
AAGGAAUAUUGGACAAUGGUCGCAAGACUGAUCCAGCCAUGCCGCGUGCAGGAAGACGGCCCUAUGGGUUGUAAACUGCUUUUGUACCAGAGAAAACCUAUCUACGUGUAGAUAGCUGAUAGUAUGGUAAGAAUAAGCAUCGGCUAACUUCGUGCCAGCAGCCGCGGUAAGACGAAGGAUGCAAGCGUUAUCCGGAUUCAUUGGGUUUAAAGGGUGCGUAGGCGGGCUUGUAAGUCAGUGGUGAAAUCUCUCAGCUUAACUGAGAAACUGCCAUUGAUACUGCAGGCCUAGAGUAUAGAUGACGUCUGCGGAAUAUGACAUGUAGUGGUGAAAUACUUAGAUAUGUCAUAGAACACCGAUUGCGAAGGCAGCUAACGAAACUAUAACUGACGCUGAGGCACGAAAGUGC